UAGGGAAUCUUCCGCAAUGGGCGAAAGCCUGACGGAGCAACGCCGCGUGAGUGAUGAAGGUCUUCGGAUCGUAAAACUCUGUUAUUAGGGAAGAACAAAUGUGUAAGUAACUAUGCACGUCUUGACGGUACCUAAUCAGAAAGCCACGGCUAACUACGUGCCAGCAGCCGCGGUAAUACGUAGGUGGCAAGCGUUAUCCGGAAUUAUUGGGCGUAAAGCGCGCGUAGGCGGUUUUUUAAGUCUGAUGUGAAAGCCCACGGCUCAACCGUGGAGGGUCAUUGGAAACUGGAAAACUUGAGUGCAGAAGAGGAAAGUGGAAUUCCAUGUGUAGCGGUGAAAUGCGCAGAGAUAUGGAGGAACACCAGUGGCGAAGGCGACUUUCUGGUCUGUAACUGACGCUGAUGUGCGAAAGCGUGGAGAUCAAACAGG
rnacentral:rRNA from 1 species